UCUGCAACCAUAAAUUCUGUUUCAUUUAUUUAUUUAAAUAUAUUUCCUUUUUCUUUAAGAAAGAUUCUAGAAGUGGAAUUUCUGGCCCACGGAUGCAAUUGUGAGGACAUUUAUGAAGCUCCUGUCCAACACCAGUCCAGAAGGCUGGUCCCCAGAAGGCUCCCUGAGCAAGAGGGGGUCUGCCGCACAGCUCCUGGCAGGCACCUGUGGCACUGAUCUGGCCUGGCAGGAUGCCCAGCUCCACAGAGACAGCUCUUUCUGGAGCUCCAAUUGAUGUGAACCUUUGCUCUCAGCCAUCAUCUGCACACAGCCAGGAUUCACAGUAAAUCAGAGGAAAAAUAAAACUGGACGGCUUUCAGUUCCAAUCACAUCUUGUUUUACCUCGCUCCAGCCACUCAGUUAUCGGGAAAUAAUGGAUCUUUAUCUGUGAAACUGAA
rnacentral:lncRNA from 1 species